CUAUUCCCAUCUGAGGAUAUAUGCAAAUUGAAGGUGAGGCCAGGAAAAUCUAGACAUCGCUCACUGGAAAGCUGGAUCUGGAAAAGGGAUUUGGCCCACCCACUUCAGACCCAAACGUGUACCUUUCACAGCUUCCUCUCAGGCUCAAGGAACAUGAAGGAAGAGAGGGCAGAAAGAUUCUAAGAGCCAGAACUCCAGCAAGUCUGUGGUGAGAUUGUGUCUGGUAGAAAUGACAACAAAGCUUCACCCAUGAGACUCCAACAACAUGGCUGACUAAAUAAGGUUUGACCAAGCACAAC